rnacentral:rRNA from 1 species
CGCGCGAUACAGGGUGACAGCCCCGUACACAAAAAUGCACAUGCUGUGAGCUCGAUGAGUAGGGCGGGACACGUGGUAUCCUGUCUGAAUAUGGGGGGACCAUCCUCCAAGGCUAAAUACUCCUGACUGACCGAUAGUGAACCAGUACCGUGAGGGAAAGGCGAAAAGAACCCCGGCGAGGGGAGUGAAAAAGAACCUGAAACCGUGUACGUACAAGCAGUGGGAGCACGCUUCGGCGUGUGACUGCGUACCUUUUGUAUAAUGGGUCAGCGACUUAUAUUCUGUAGCAAGGUUAACCGAAUAGGGGAGCCGAAGGGAAACCGAGUCUUAACUGGGCGUUAAGUUGCAGGGUAUAGACCCGAAACCCGGUGAUCUAGCCAUGGGCAGGUUGAAGGUUGGGUAACACUAACUGGAGGACCGAACCGACUAAUGUUGAAAAAUUAGCGGAUGACUUGUGGCUGGGGGUGAAAGGCCAAUCAAACCGGGAGAUAGCUGGUUCUCCCCGAAAGCUAUUUAGGUAGCGCCUCGUGAAUUCAUCUCCGGGGGUAGAGCACUGUUUCGGCAAGGGGGUCAUCCCGACUUACCAACCCGAUGCAAACUGCGAAUACCGGAGAAUGUUAUCACGGGAGACACACGGCGGGUGCUAACGUCCGUCGUGAAGAGGGAAACAACCCAGACCGCCAGCUAAGGUCCCAAAGUCAUGGUUAAGUGGGAAACGAUGUGGGAAGGCCCAGACAGCCAGGAUGUUGGCUUAGAAGCAGCCAUCAUUUAAAGAAAGCGUAAUAGCUCACUGGUCGAGUCGGCCUGCGCGGAAGAUGUAACGGGGCUAAACCAUG